rnacentral:rRNA from 1 species
GACGAACGCUGGCGGCGUGCCUAACACAUGCAAGUCGAGCGAUGAAGUUUUCUUCGGAAAACGGAUUAGCGGCGGACGGGUGAGUAACACGUGGGCAACCUGCCCUAUAGUGAGGAAUAGCCUUUCGAAAGGAAGAUUAAUACCUCAUAAGAUUGUAGCAUCGCAUGAUGCAGCAAUUAAAGGAGCAAUCCGCUAUAGGAUGGGCCCGCGGCGCAUUAGCUAGUUGGUGAGGUAACGGCUCACCAAGGCGACGAUGCGUAGCCGACCUGAGAGGGUGAUCGGCCACAUUGGGACUGAGACACGGCCCAGACUCCUACGGGAGGCAGCAGUGGGGAAUAUUGCACAAUGGGGGAAACCCUGAUGCAGCAACGCCGCGUGAGUGAUGACGGUCUUCGGAUUGUAAAGCUCUGUCUUCAGGGACGAUAAUGACGGUACCUGAGGAGGAAGCCACGGCUAACUACGUGCCAGCCGCCGCCGUAACAC